rnacentral:rRNA from 1 species
CGGACGGGUGAGUAAUGCUUGGGAACUUGCCUUUAGGUGGGGGAUAACAGUUGGAAACGACUGCUAAUACCGCAUAAUGUCUACGGACCAAAGGGGGCUUCGGCUCCCGCCUUGAGAGAGGCCCAAGUGAGAUUAGCUAGUUGGUGGGGUAAAGGCCUACCAAGGCAACGAUCUCUAGCUGUUCUGAGAGGAAGAUCAGCCACACUGGGACUGAGACACGGCCCAGACUCCUACGGGAGGCAGCAGUGGGGAAUAUUGCACAAUGGGGGAAACCCUGAUGCAGCCAUGCCGCGUGUGUGAAGAAGGCCUUCGGGUUGUAAAGCACUUUCAGUUGUGAGGAAAGGUUGGUAGUUAAUACCUGCCAGCUGUGACGUUAACAACAGAAGAAGCACCGGCUAACUCCGUGCCAGCAGCCGCGGUAAUACGGAGGGUGCGAGCGUUAAUCGGAAUUACUGGGCGUAAAGCGCACGCAGGCGGCUUGUUAAGCUAGAGGUGAAAGCCCCGCGCUCAACGUGGGAACUGCCUUUAGAACUGGCAGGCUAGAGUCUUGGAGAGGGGAGUGGAAUUCCAGGUGUAGCGGUGAAAUGCGUAGAUAUCUGGAGGAACAUCAGUGGCGAAGGCGGCUCCCUGGCCAAAGACUGA